CCUUAUCUUUUUGAGGCAGGAUUUUGCUGUUCAUUUCAGGCUGACCUUGAACUCACUUUGCAGCCCGGGCUGGCCUCAAACUCACAGCAAUCCUCCUGCCUCAGUCUCCUGAAUGCUGGGCUUAGUGCCACUACACCCAGCUUGUUAUGCUUUCAAUUUAGAAUUUUAUCUGGAACUCUGCCACCAGGUCCUUAUUCAUAUAGUAAUAAACCAAAUGAUAUUGUGAACAGACUCAUUGCUCCUGUUGCCAAACUAACUGGAGUAUGAUAUUUGACAAUUGGUUUACUGGUUUCCAAUUGAUGUUACAUUUGCUAGCAGAGCAAAACUUGACCAAUACACACAAACAAAGCAGAAAUUCCCCAUGAAAUUUUGCAAUUUCUAACCAGAGAAUUACAUAAUACAAUGUUGGGUUUCAGAAAGAUAUAACAUUGGCUUUAUAUAAGGCAAAGUAAAACAAACUGGUCUGCUGAUGUCAACAUUUCACCAGGAUAGAAAUACUGAUAAGGAAACCUCCAUAAAAUGGAAGCUGGAGAUGGAAACUUUCUGCAACAAAAUGAAAGCUACAGUAGAUGUUAUGAAAGAGUUAGGCAACAACUGUGAUGCCACUCGAAACACAAAGUAUCAGCCAAUUGUUACAUUUUACUCAAUCCUGAAAGUGUGCGGCAUAAAUAGUUUUACAGUUAACAAAGAAAAUAACAAAUGCAAGAUAUCACUGAGAAAUUUUCUUAGAGGAUCGGGACUGGAACUCAUAAGAGAUCAUUUACAAGAGAGGAAAAACAAUUUUUUUUUCUGCACAGGGAACUAAGUAAAAGCAAUUGUGGAGCACACCGGUGAGCUGACGGGUGAACAGGCAGGACCAGCACCACAAAGACUACCACAGCAACAGGGAAACAAGAAGAUGCCAGCUGUGCCCCAGAAGAAAGGGCAGGAAAACAGAACAUAGGUGCUAUCAGUUGAGUUACAUGUUUAAACAUAAGAACCCCUGAAGUUUGGUGGAGUCCUCGAAGAGAAACUUUGGAUUCCAAGGCAAAAGAAACUAUUUCAAACUUGGCUCCUUGGAGGCUGGCUCAAUCUUCUCCCCGCAGGAAUUUGACUGUGUCUACACUGAAGAGUUCUCCUUCCUUUCAAAUAUAUUCUCACCCAGAGCAGCUCGGUUGGAAGAAAAAGGGAUGAAGUGUUAACAUCUAGAAGCUGAACCUCAAUAAUGCAAUAGAAUAGGUGCAUCCAUGUAAAUACAGGAACAGAUCAUGGAACACGUUUUCAGGGAGAGGAAAUAACGUGUUAUUUAACGAAUAACAUAUAACAGCUCACUAACUAAGCACUCUCUACUUCGGAGCUGUACCCCUAGAAAUAACCUCAGUUUAAUACAUUCUCAUGAAGCCAAAAACUCAAAUGUAAAAACGCAAUCAUAAAAUAUCUACCAGUAGCUGCUCAUUUUAUUUUUUAGCACUGGCUUUGUGUCGUAGUGUUUAUCUCCUAGCAAAACAAGUGGAAAAGAAGGUGAAUGUGUAUUUUCUCAAGGUUGGCAUGGAAAAGAUCUUUCUAAAUACCUCCGAGAACCUAAAGGCCAUGAGGGAAAAAUACUUUUAGGACUUUUAAUCCCAAAAAUACACAUUAGGGCAACAGGUAAUAGGAAAUUGGGUAAAAAUGUGCGUGCGAUGGACAGAAAGGUAUGGGGAGAACAGAGCAGCUCAGGCUCCUCACCAAGCCCCCAGCUUGGCAGAGAGAAGGGAGCAGACCAGGACACAUGCAAUCCGUCAACGAAGUCAAAUGGCUACAGAUCACAUUUGCAGGCAUUAGCUAGACAUCCCGGCAGAGCAAGAGGACGGCUGAUGCACUGUACUGCGGUAAUUAAAAGACCAGUAGAAGGCAGACAGAUAAAGAGGUCCAGAGCAAGAUGUGGUCCCGGCUCUGUGGGCCAGAACACCAAAGGGUCACACUCUGGGGGGAAGGGACACGUGGAUAUUUACAAUUGUGCACCCUCUCACGCGGGCUUCUGGGAUCUAACAGAAGGAGAUAAUUAUCCAAAUGUGAAAAUACUAUGCGCACAGGAUGUUCGCGAUAGCUUUGGUAGGUUAAAAAUCCAGAAAACUGAAAACAAUCUUAAAAAUCUCACCAGGAGACACUGUAGUCAGUAACCUUAUGGUAAAGGUCUGUUUUAUCAAUAUGAAAAGAUGCCUGUAAUAGAAUACACACAGAAUAGCACUGAUAAGCUUCUAGAGGAAGAGAUGUCCAUGAAAUGAAAUAGUGUAGAAGCAGUUUAUUUACUGGUUCUAGGGCCUCAUUAGUUCUAUAAUCCAGUUCCUAAAAAUUUAGACAUUUAUUCUACACAUAGAGACCACUAAAAGGACAUUUAUAAAAAUGUUAAAGAGUAGUUUCCAUUAGAUUAUGGAAGCAUGAAAAGGAACUUUCUGAUUUGUGAUUUUUUUUGUAAUGUUGGGAUUUUUAAAAAUAUGCAUUAU